GUAUGAAAUGUACAUGAAAGGUAAGAAGUCAAUUUCUUCAUGUCAAAAUCCGAACAUAAAUGUAGGCCAAAUUGUUGAUGGAAGAAAAGAUGCUUGGAGGAGAGAUUUUGCAAAACAUCAGAUUGCAAGGAAAAAUGAACCAUCAAAUUAUAGGUUAGAACUUGAUUAUUACUUGGAGGAAUCGACACUACCAGAUUCAGAUGAAGAAUUUGACAUUUUAAUUUGGUGGAAGACUAAUGGAUUAAAAUAUCCAAUCUUACAAAUGAUUGCAAGAGAUUUUCUAGUCAUUCCUAUCUCAACAGUUGCUUCUGAGUCUUCUUUUAGCACUAGUGGUCGAUUUCUUACUCCACAUCGGAGUAGAUUACACCCAGACACUUUAGAGGCAUUGAUGUGUGUUCAAGAUUGACUAUGGAGUGACAUACAAGGUUCUUCAAAAUUGAAAGUGGAUAACAUGAAGCUUAAUACAAUACUAGAGGAGAUAAUUGAUGAUAAUGAAUUAAGUGGUCAAAAUGAAGAUGUAGAAGAACAAACAUAAAUCUUGCAGUGUUAUUUUUAGAACAAUUAUUUGAAUUUAAGUUUUAAUUUGUACUAAUUUGAAUUAAUUUAUAUUAAUUUGAAUUAUUUUUACUAUUAAUUUGUAUUAAUUUGA